rnacentral:rRNA from 1 species
UGGGUAGUUUGACUGGGGCGGUCGCCUCCUAAAUCGUAACGGAGGCGCGCGAAGGUUGGCUCAGAGCGGUCGGAAAUCGCUCGUUGAGUGCAAUGGCAGAAGCCAGCCUGACUGCGAGACUGACAAGUCGAGCAGAGUCGAAAGACGGCCAUAGUGAUCCGGUGGUCCCAAGUGGGAGGGCCAUCGCUCAACGGAUAAAA